rnacentral:rRNA from 1 species
UCAAUGGGCGAGACCCUGAACCAGCCAAGUAGCGUGAAGGAUGACUGCCCUAUGGGUUGUAAACUUCUUUUAUAAAGGAAUAAAGUCGGGUAUGCAUACCCGUUUGCAUGUACUUUAUGAAUAAGGAUCGGCUAACUCCGUGCCAGCAGCCGCGGUAAUACGGAGGAUCCGAGCGUUAUCCGGAUUUAUUGGGUUUAAAGGGAGCGUAGAUGGAUGUUUAAGUCAGUUGUGAAAGUUUGCGGCUCAACCGUAAAAUUGCAGUUGAUACUGGAUAUCUUGAGUGCAGUUGAGGCAGGCGGAAUUCGUGGUGUAGCGGUGAAAUGCUUAGAUAUCACGAAGAACUCCGAUUGCGAAGGCAGCCUGCUAAGCUGCAACUGACAUUGAGGCUCGAAAGUGUGGGUAUCAAACAGGAUUAGAUACCCUGGUAGUCCACACGGUAAACGAUGAAUACUCGCUGUUUGCGAUAUACUGCAA